UACGGAGGGGACUAGCGUUGUUCGGAGUUACUGGGCGUAAAGCGCACGUAGGCGGAUUUGUAAGUCAGGGGUGAAAUCCCGGGGCUCAACCUCGGAACUGCCUUUGAUACUGCAAAUCUCGAGUCCGGAAGAGGUGAGUGGAAUUCCUAGUGUAGAGGUGAAAUUCGUAGAUAUUAGGAAGAACACCAGUGGCGAAGGCGGCUCACUGGUCCGGUACUGACGCUGAGGUGCGAAAGCGUGGGGAGCAAACAGG
rnacentral:rRNA from 1 species